rnacentral:rRNA from 1 species
UUGAACGCUGGCGGCAGGCUUAACACAUGCAAGUCGCGCGGUAGCAGGAGAAAGCUUGCUUUCUUGCUGACGAGUGGCGGACGGGUGAGUAAUGCUUGGGAAUCUGGCUUAUGGAGGGGGAUAACUACGGGAAACUGUAGCUAAUACCGCGUAAUAUCUUCGGAUUAAAGAAUGGGACUUUUAGCCAUUCGCCAUAAGAUGAGCCCAAGUGGGAUUAGGUAGUUGGUGGGGUAAAGGCCUACCAAGCCGACGAUCUCUAGCUGGUCUGAGAGGAUGACCAGCCACACUGGAACUGAGACACGGUCCAGACUCCUACGGGAGGCAGCAGUGGGGAAUAUUGCGCAAAGGGGGCAACCCUGACGCAGCCAUGCCGCGUGAAUGAAGAAGGCCUUCGGGUUGUAAAGUUCUUUCGGUGGUGAGGAAGGCUAAUAUGUUAAUAGCAUAUUAGAUUGACGUUAGCCACAGAAGAAGCACCGGCUAACUCCGUG